AGACAGACAAAGAACCCAGCCCGUGGCGCUGUCACCUUCUGGCUGUGUUGAUCAAUCUUCUGAGAAAAAUGUUAAAUUACUCUCUGUCUUCAUUUUUUUUUCAUAAAUAUCAAAUGUAAACACUGCUACAAACAUUCAAACUGAUGGUGAAGGCCUGAAAGGAAGAAUCAUCUUCACUUUGCUGGGAUAAUUUCAUGCAGUUUUAUUUUUAAAUAUUCAUUUAAAAAUAUUCAUUAAAAAUAUGUAUACAAAAAUAUAAACCCAUCAGGCCCUCCGGUCUAUGGAUUUGAAAUAUAAGCAUGAUCCAAACUAUCUGAUUGUCUUUUAUUUCUGUUUUUUACUCAGGGGUUGAGGGUCUGAUCUCUAGGGAAAAAGCCUUGGGGCUUUUUCAAUCGAGAAGGGCCCUCUGCCCUUUGAAGGUUUACAGUGUCGCAGUAGGACACCUAGAGAGCAAGCAGAAAGUCAGUUUCUCCAGACUGCUUUCUAAAGAGAAUUUCUACUCGUGGUCGUGGUGAUGACACCAUCUUUUCUCCCCAACAGCGGCGGUUCCAGAAUUUCUACAUAGCCUGGGGGCUGACAGGGUGGGCAAGCUGGUCGAGAAGGGGCGCUGGCACUUGACAAAAACUCGAGGAAACGUCCGAUGUCCGUCUCGGACUGUGGGUAGGGGGAGAACUAAGGCCCGCCAGCCAUGGCCAGGCCUCCACUGCAGCCAGGUCGUCCCCACUCCGUAGGAGUGGCUCCGGAAGAGCAUCGCUUCAGGUGAAAGUGAGCCGGCAUUUGGGCGAGAGGCAGGAGUUGGACGAAUUACUUGUAGGGUCUGUUCCCAGCUACCCUGAGGGAAGGGUGGAAAAGCACUCACAAUGGAGGAUGAUCUUGACUUCGCCGAAGAACCACCUCCCUCCCCGCAUCGCCCAAGGUUUCCCACGGAGAGGUCACCAAUCGCUCUUCAUCAGGCUGGGCGGAACCUCUAAGGCAACACCACCUAGAUCUAAAACCAAACCAGCCACACAGCGCUCUAAAACCUCCCUCAACAAGCUCUCUUCGUCGCGCUCCAAACGCAAACAUCGCGGGCGAAAAGAGGCUGCACAAGUCACGCAGAAAAUUAGGCUGCCCCUUUCCAUGGCGAUAAUCGAAUUAGCCUCAAAUUAAACGUGAAAUUGGCCCUCGCCGGCUGUGGGGACAAAGCCCCCAUUGUCCUUUUGCGGCGGGGACGGUGCCCACCCUGCCCAGGCCAGCCCAGGCCAGUCCCUGCAGCAGGGGACGAGGUCUGCGCUGGAAGGGGGCAGAGCCUUGGCCGGGACAGCGUGGACGCGCCCGAGGGUCUGCUCGGCGCGGAGCAGCGCUGGGUGGGCGGCAGCGGGGCUCCCAGCAGGCGCUGAGGGCGGCCAAGAAGGAGGAACCGAGCAAGGGAGGAGCGGAGGAGAGCGGAGGGUGUGCGGGAGCGCGCACCCGCGCGCCUGU
rnacentral:lncRNA from 1 species